GACGAACGCUGGCGGCGUGCCUAAUACAUGCAAGUCGAGCGGUCCCUUCGGGGAUAGCGGCGGACGGGUGAGUAACACGUAGGCAACCUGCCUGUAAGACUGGGAUAACUAUCGGAAACGAUAGCUAAGACCGGAUAGCUGGUUUUCUCGCAUGAGAGAAUCAUGAAACACGGAGCAAUCUGUGGCUUACAGAUGGGCCUGCGGCGCAUUAGCUAGUUGGUAGGGUAAUGGCCUACCAAGGCGACGAUGCGUAGCCGACCUGAGAGGGUGAACGGCCACACUGGGACUGAGACACGGCCCAGACUCCUACGGGAGGCAGCAGUAGGGAAUCUUCCGCAAUGGACGCAAGUCUGACGGAGCAACGCCGCGUGAGUGAUGAAGGUUUUCGGAUCGUAAAGCUCUGUUGCCCUAGACGAACAGCAAGGAGAGUAACUGCUCCUUGUGUGACGGUAUAGGAGAAGAAAGCCCCGGCUAACUACGUGCCAGCAGCCGCCGAAACAC
rnacentral:rRNA from 1 species